AUGGAUACUCUGUUUAAGGCUGCUUUCUUGAGUGUUCUUGGUGAGAACAUAAUUGAUGCUUAUGCGUCAAUUGAUAAUGGAAAAGAUAUGUGGGAUGCACUUGAGGCCAAGUUUGGGGUCUCGGAUGCUGGCACUGAGCUGUACAUCAUGGAGCAAUUCUAUGGUUACAGGAUGACUGAAGAGCGCUCCGUGGUUGAGCAAGCUCAUGAGAUACAGUCAUUUGCUAGAGAACUUGAGCACUUCAGUUGUAUGCUACCGGACAAGUUUGUUGCCGGAGGUAUCAUCAAUAAGCUUCCUCCUUCAUGGAGGAACUUUGCUACCUUACUGAAGCAUAAGAGGCAGGGGUUUUCCGUUCCGGAUCUCAUUGGCACUCUUGAUGUGGAAGAAAAGGCGAGAGCAAAGGACACACGUGCUCGAGGUAUUGAGGGAGGAUCUAGUGCCAAUCUGGUACAGAAGAAGAACUUCCAGCCCCACAAGUUCAAGAACAAGGGCAAGUUUGAUGGUAAAGCAAAGUUUGAUGGGAAGAACAAGGCUAUGCAACACACGAACUUCAAGAAGAAGAAUGACAAGAAGAAAGGUGCUUGUCAUGUGUGUGGGGAUCCUGAUCAUUGGGCUCCUAGUUGCCCUAAUCGCUAUGACAAGCGUCAUCCUGGGAAAGGCGGCAAGACCGCUAAUGUUGUCAUUGGAGACACUGACAUAAAGGAUGCUGGGUAUGGUAUAUUUCCCACUAUUCUUUCAGUAUGUCAUUCUCCUGAUUGGUUGAUUGACACGGGUGCUAAUGUGCAUGUAUGCGGUGAUAUUUCCAUGUUUUCGUCUUAUCAGACCGCAGGGACUUCAACCGUGUUGAUGGGCAACGGUUCAAGUGCUUCUGUUCGUGGUGUUGGCACGGUCGAUCUGAAGUUUACUUCGGGGAAGAUCGUGCGGCUGAAGAACGUGCAUUAUGUCCCCUCCGUCAAUAAAAAUUUUGUUAGCGGAUCUUUUCUGUGUAGAGAUGGCUACAAGCUUGUCUUUGAGUCGAAUAAAUUUGUAAUAUCCAAGUAUGGAACCUUCGUUGGUAAAGGCUAUGAGUCAGGAGGCCUGUUUCGUUUAGCCUUAUCAGACGUUUGCAAUAAAGUUGUUAAAUAUUUGCAACAAUAG
rnacentral:rRNA from 1 species